GUUCCACCUAAAGAAUCAGACCUCAUAAAGGCAAUGAGUAAAGCACCCGCUUAAAUGCCGAUGCAGCAUUUGCAGGUCUCUGUUACUGGUACCAUCCCAAAAUACAGCAGUCUUGAGGCAGUAGGAACUCAACCAACACAGGUACUGCAUGGCAGAGCAGCAGAAAAUCCUCCAUUUUCCCCUGCAACAGAAGCCUGACCUGCAGUCAUCCAAACCAGCAUGACAGGUCUUCCUCAAGUGGAAAACAACCCCCCCCAGCUGGAGGAGACACUUCAGGAACCUCACAUCCUUCCUAGGAUAGAGUCUUCUCUCUUCU